rnacentral:rRNA from 1 species
GAAGGUAAAAAAAUGUAACAAGGUCUCCGUUGGUGAACCAGCGGAGGGAUCAUUACCGAGUUUACAACUCCCAAACCCAAUGUGAACGUUACCAAACUGUUGCCUCGGCGGGGUCACGCCCCGGGUGCGUCGCAGCCCCGGAACCAGGCGCCCGCCGGAGGAACCAACCAAACUCUUUCUGUAGUCCCCUCGCGGACGUAUUUCUUACAGCUCUGAGCAAAAAUUCAAAAUGAAUCAAAACUUUCAACAACGGAUCUCUUGGUUCUGGCAUCGAUGAAGAACGCAGCGAAAUGCGAUAAGUAAUGUGAAUUGCAGAAUUCAGUGAAUCAUCGAAUCUUUGAACGCACAUUGCGCCCGCCAGUAUUCUGGCGGGCAUGCCUGUCCGAGCGUCAUUUCAACCCUCGAACCCCUCCGGGGGAUCGGCGUUGGGGAUCGGGACCCCUCACACGGGUGCCGGCCCCGAAAUACAGUGGCGGUCUCGCCGCAGCCUCUCCUGCGCAGUAGUUUGCACAACUCGCACCGGGAGCGCGGCGCGUCCACGUCCGUAAAACACCCAACUUUCUGAAAUGUUGACCUCGGAUCAGGUAGGAAUACCCGCUGAACUUAAGCAUAUCAUAG